CGACUCUGACUGAGUCAAGAGCCGCUGAACAUGAUCCUCGUUGCUCGGGUUUUCGGAUGAGUUGAUCAAUGGGGCGCAGAGUUUUCUUCAGCACAGUUUUCACGCCAUAAAACUCCAGUAUAUGGGAAGGUUAAAGCGAGUGCUGACCCGCAUCUGUUCGCUGUGAGAGAUGAACCGUACUGAACAGAAGCAAUGACAUGUUUAUGGUCAGGUGUUGAGGAAUGGACCGUACCAAAUAUCUCCCCGGAUACGGUUGUGCCGCCAUGGCUCUCUGUGUCUC
ensembl:lncRNA